AACCUAAGACUUCCCAUCUCUAUGCCUGACUCUCAAUCCACUGAGCUACCCAGCUGCCCCCUAACUAUCACCAUUUUUAAAGAUGGCAGCCAAUCAAGAGUCUACCCCCACCCACAUGGUAGGGAAUGUAGAAAGCUUUAUGUUCGUGCUGUGGAAGUGAGAAAUUGAGAAUGGUUUGUAGCAGGAGCUUGGAAUAGCUGAGACUGAUGACCUGUCAUUCAAACGAGAGCACUCUGGUGUGGAAUGUGACCAGGAGAGGCAGUUGGAGGAAGGAGCAGACCAACUGAAAUCAUAUAAAUGCCCUUUUGGCUUGGAAAGACAGAAGAGGUCUUAUGUCUCUUGGCUUUUAGAGACUGAAGCCUGAAGGUUGUCUUUGGCUUGGAGGAUAGAAAAAAGAAGGACAAAGUCCAGCUCUCUGACUUGCUCUGUUGUGAUAGUAACUGAACUUCCACACCUAUCAGCCAUUUUCCAAAUUGAACUAUAUUUCACCAUCCUUCAAUCUAAGACUCAUCCUAGUAUUAGGGAAACUCCAAAGCUCUCUUCCCUUUCAUUUUCUUAUCCUUCCCUGUCUUACCCAAUAAAUCCCUUACAUAACUAAGAUAGAGAAGAGAAAGAGUAUUUCAUUUGAGAUAUCAUAAACUCACCCUUGAGUUGAUUAGAGAGAUCAAUAAGAGAAUCAGCAGGAAUGGGGGAGGCAAGAAGGGAGGAAGAAGGAGGAAGGGAGGAAGGAAGAUCAACAGCCUGAUCUGUAGUUAUCAAUUACAAUUCAAAUAGUCCCUUAUUACAAUGCCCAAAAAACUCCUCAAGGGUAUCUCCAUAUUAGAACUGAGCAAGCUCAGAGAAGCUCAAUUUACAUAUACAUUGAUUUCAAAAAUGUAAAUGAAAAGAACAACAACAAACAAAACCAAUUGCUCCAAAAUUAUGAAUGAGCUUGGCCCCAAAGAAGAGAUAUGAGAAGAGUCACAUUCACUCCCAUUACAAGCCAGGCAAGCCAAGAACAUCAAUCACCUUCAAGACACACUCUACUGCAGACAGAAACCAGGCAACAUUUCCAGCCUUUUCAGCCAGGAAUAUUCCUCUGUACAUGUGACCUUCUCCCUUACAAAGACCUGUUUGCUUGUGUGGCCCUCUCCUCCAUGGGUGAGUUCCUCCCCAAACCUCAAAUCUCAGAGUAUUCCAGCCAGUCCU
rnacentral:lncRNA from 1 species